rnacentral:rRNA from 1 species
CGGGAGUAAUCAGCGGCGAACGGGUGAGUAACACGUGGGUGACUUGCCCCGAAGAUGGGGAUAACCUCUGGAAACGGGGGCUAAUACCCAAUGUGCUCGGUGAUUCGGUUCAUCGAGUAAAGCUCCGGCGCUUCGGGAGAGGCCUGCGGCCCAUCAGCUAGUUGGUAGGGUAACGGCCUACCAAGGCAGAGACGGGUAGGGGGCGUGAGAGCGCGGACCCCCACACUGGCACUGAGAUACGGGCCAGACUCCUACGGGAGGCAGCAGUAAGGGAUAUUGCGCAAUGGACGAAAGUCAGACGCAGCGACGCCGCGUGGGCGAUGAAGGCCUUCGGGUUGUAAAGCCCUUUUAUGGGGGAAGAGAAAAAGGACGGUACCCCAGGAAUAAGUCCCGGCUAACUACGUGCCAGCAGCCGCGGUAAAACGUAGGGGACAAGCGUUAUCCGGAUUCACUGGGCGUAAAGAGCGUUGAGGCGGUUCCGUAAGUUGGGCGUGAAAGCUCCGGGCUUAACUCGGAGAUGUCGUUCAAUACUGCGGGGCUUGAGGACAGCAGAGGAAGGUGGAAUUCCCGGUGUAGUGGUGAAAUGCGUAGAUAUCGGGAGGAACACCCGUGGCGAAGGCGGCCUUCUGGGCUGUUCCUGACGCUGAAGGCGAAAGCUAGGGGAGCGAACGGGAUUAGAUACCCCGGUAGUCCUAGCUGUAAACGAUGGAUGCUGGGUGUGGGGGGUGUAAAUUCCCUCUGUGCCGAAGCAAACGCGUUAAGCAUCCCGCCUGGGGACUACGGCCGCAAGGCUAAAACUCAAACGAAUUGACGGGGGCCCGCACAAGCAGCGGAGCGUGUGGUUUAAUUCGAUGCUACACGAAGAACCUUACCUGGGUUUGACAUGCACGUGGUAGGGAACCGAAAGGGGACCGACCUUCGGGAGCGUGCACAGGUGCUGCAUGGCUGUCGUCAGCUCGUGUCGUGAGGUGUCGGGUUAAGUCCCGUAACGAGCGCAACCCUUGCCCUUAGUUACAAGUGUCUAAGGGGACUGCCCGGGACACUGGGAGGGAAGGUGGGGAUGACGUCAAGUCAGCAUGGCCUUUAUAUCCAGGGCUACACACACGCUACAAUGGCCGGU